rnacentral:rRNA from 1 species
AUUGAACGCUGGCGGCAUGCCUUACACAUGCAAGUCGAACGGCAGCACGGGAGCAAUCCUGGUGGCGAGUGGCGAACGGGUGAGUAAAGUAUCGGAACGUGCCCAGUCGUGGGGGAUAACGUAGCGAAAGUUACGCUAAUACCGCAUACGAUCUAUGGAAGAAAGCGGGGGAUCGCAAGACCUCGCGCGAUUGGAGCGGCCGAUAUCAGAUUAGGUAGUUGGUGGGGUAAAGGCUCACCAAGCCGACGGUCUGUAGCUGGUCUGAGAGGACGACCAGCCACACUGGGACUGAGACACGGCCCAGACUCCUACGGGAGGCAGCAGUGGGGAAUUUUGGACAAUGGGCGAAAGCCUGAUCCAGCCAUGCCGCGUGCAGGAUGAAGGCCUUCGGGUUGUAAACUGCUUUUGUACAGAACGAAAAGGUUUGGCCUAAUAAGCUGAGCUCAUGACGGUACCGUAAGAAUAAGCACCGGCUAACUACGUGCCAGCCGCCGCCGUAA